AGAAACACACAUGAAUAGAACAAGGAGGAAUAGAAUAGAAGAAGUAAUCUCUUUGUUCUGAUGGCACUCACCAAGAGCACUACAACACGAUCGACAACUGUGUGGUCUGUGGUUGUUGCAUUCCUAGUGCUUGCUAUGAUAUGUUCUACUUUGCGAUCCUGCCAUGCACGCAUUGGUAUGCGAGACAUCUCCUUAUUUCAAAUUCAUAAAUUUGUUAAUGCUUUGGUAAACCCGCUUAGAAAAGUUUACACGAAUGUUAAAAUUGCUUUAAAAAGGAUAUUUGUGUAGACGAAUUAUAACCCCUAUCUUCCCGAUAGCUCAGUCAACAGACCAGAACCAACUGUGUGGCACCCUCUCAAUGAAGAACCAACAAUGGCUAGCCUUCUCUAUGACAACCACUGAUCCGUGGCCUGCCAAUGUCCCACAAGAAGGACGUAUAUCAUGCCGUAGUAGUCUUCUUGAUUUUUUUUUUGCGUGGGAGUCUUCUUGAUUAUUGAUAGCCCUAAUUGUUGAUGAUGUUUGAUGGAGUGUGUUUUAGUUUUUUCAGUAGCUAGUACGGUAGGUAGAACAGAGCUUGAGCACGAAUUUGAGCUAAAGACCAUUAUAUGACCCAAAUUAGUGUAGGUAGGAGACUUAAAAGAUCAGAGUUUUUGUAUCAAAUUAGAUCGCUAGCGGGUGGUGGGGUUGCAACAAGUAGCCCACCCUCGGCAGUGCUACCCAUGCCUAUUGCUGCAGCAGCCUGCAGAUCAAACAUUGAAACGAUAUAUUUGGACAUAAAAGACUAUACUAGCCUUUUUUGAUUGAAGGGGUAACUCUUAAUGUCCACCUUUAUAAGGUGGUGUGCAUAAGCAAACCUGUAUCGACUUAUCAGAAAAUACUUGUUUGAUAAGUGUGUACUACAUGUGUAUUUUGCAGAACCUAAUAAACCGCCGGUGUGCGUGCGGAUGGAUCCAUGUUUCGAGCGCACUACAUGCUGGGAAAUGUGCGUGGAUAUGGGUUUCCGUGUCCCUCAUCCCCGUUGUAAGGGGAGUGUAGAUCGGCUUUGUUGCUGCCUAGACAGGACCCGUACAACUCAUUGAUGGUUCUCUUCCUGAGCUAUGCAAUGCUGAAUAACUGUAUGCUUGUGAUGAGCGUGUGCUGAUCUUAAUAAAAAAAUAUUUUUUCAUAUUGUAAGUUGUCUAACUUAUGCUCACAAGUAUAAUGAUU
rnacentral:lncRNA from 1 species